GACGAACGCUGGCGGCGUGCCUAAUACAUGCAAGUAGAACGCUGAAGGAGGAGCUUGCUUCUCUGGAUGAGUUGCGAACGGGUGAGUAACGCGUAGGUAACCUGCCUGGUAGCGGGGGAUAACUAUUGGAAACGAUAGCUAAUACCGCAUAAGAGUAGAUGUCGCAUGACAUUUGCUUAAAAGGUGCAAUUGCAUCACUACCAGAUGGACCUGCGUUGUAUUAGCUAGUUGGUGAGGUAACGGCUCACCAAGGCAACGAUACAUAGCCGACCUGGGAGGGUGGUCGGGCAAACUGGGACUGGGAAACGGGCCAGGCUCCCACGGGAAGCAGCAGUAGGGAAUCUUCGGCAAUAGACGGAAGUCUGACCGAGGAAAGGCGCGUGAGUGAAGGAGGUUUUCGGAACGUAAAGCUCUGUUGUAAGGGAAGAACGAGUGUGAGAGUGGAAAGUUCACGCUGUGACGGUAUCUUACCAGAAAGCGACGGCUAACUACGUG
rnacentral:rRNA from 1 species